AGUGAACGCUGGCGGCAGGCCUAACACAUGCAAGUCGAGCGGCAGCGCGUCCGACCACCCUCGGGUGGUCGGAUGGCGGCGAGCGGCGGACGGGUGAGGAAUGCAUCGGAAUCUGCCUCGUUGUGGGGGAUAACGUAGGGAAACUUACGCUAAUACCGCAUACGACCUACGGGUGAAAGUGGGGGACCUUCGGGCCUCACGCGAUGAGAUGAGCCGAUGCCGGAUUAGCUAGUUGGCGGGGUAAAGGCCCACCAAGGCGACGAUCCGUAGCUGGUCUGAGAGGAUGAUCAGCCACACUGGAACUGAGACACGGUCCAGACUCCUACGGGAGGCAGCAGUGGGGAAUAUUGGACAAUGGGGGCAACCCUGAUCCAGCCAUGCCGCGUGUGUGAAGAAGGCCUCGGUUG
rnacentral:rRNA from 1 species